rnacentral:rRNA from 1 species
GGACGAACGCUGGCGGCGUGCCUAAUACAUGCAAGUCGAGCGAAUCGAUGGGAGCUUGCUCCCUGAGAUUAGCGGCGGACGGGUGAGUAACACGUGGGCAACCUGCCUAUAAGACUGGGAUAACUUCGGGAAACCGGAGCUAAUACCGGAUACGUUCUUUUCUCGCAUGAGAGAAGAUGGAAAGACGGUUUACGCUGUCACUUAUAGAUGGGCCCGCGGCGCAUUAGCUAGUUGGUGAGGUAAUGGCUCACCAAGGCGACGAUGCGUAGCCGACCUGAGAGGGUGAUCGGCCACACUGGGACUGAGACACGGCCCAGACUCCUACGGGAGGCAGCAGUAGGGAAUCUUCCGCAAUGGACGAAAGUCUGACGGAGCAACGCCGCGUGAACGAAGAAGGCCUUCGGGUCGUAAAGUUCUGUUGUUAGGGAAGAACAAGUACCAGAGUAACUGCUGGUACCUUGACGGUACCUAACCAGAAAGCC